AGCAGCAUGGUUUAGUGGAAAGAGCACAGGCUUGGGAGUCAGAGGACAUGGGUUCUAAUCCUACUGCUGCUA
rnacentral:tRNA from 1 species